ensembl:misc_RNA Metazoa_SRP Metazoan signal recognition particle RNA
GCCAGGCAUGGUGGCGGGUGCCUGUAAUCCCAGCUACUCAGGAGGCUGAGGCAGGAGAAUUGCUUGAACCCAGGAUGUGGAGGUUGUAGUGAGCUGAGAUUGUGCCACUGCACUCCAGCCUGGGUGACAGAGCAAGAUUCCGUCUCAA